ensembl:lncRNA
GCCACAUCAACAUUUGUGUUUUGUUUGGAAAAUGAACCACUUGUGUCUGUAGCAAAGAGGCACUUGAUUUGAAAGUUAAAGCAGCUGAACUAUGAUUAAUUAAGAGAUAAGGUGAAAUAAGAACAAUGAAAGGAAUAACCUUAGACAUGAAAGACAGUUUUCUGUUAUUAUUGGACUACUUUUAUAUGUAUAUGGUCAAGGAGAACUUAUAGCCUUUGUAUAUCCCUCAGGGUGUAUUUUGACUCAGGGCAGACCUGCAAGGACCACGUGAUAAUCAGAGAUACUUCUUAGAAAAGUAUUAAUGUCAUGAAAUGUUUGGCUGGAACAAAGUAGGGAGCUGAAAGAUGUGCAUUGAAAGUACCUUAGGUUUCAACAUGUGGAUGAAAGGACUUCUGAGGCUCAUCUUAAACGUCUGGUGAGGAUCCCUGAUUCAUGCUAAAAGAAACAGCAGGAGCCGCAGUGUAUGGGCCAUUCGGGAAGGCAUUCAGCUGCAGUGGCGUAACUUGUUUGCCAGGGGGUGCUGUUCCCGCACCACAGAACUGACCAGGUGUAGAAGGGAGUGUCGUGGGACAGAACAGAACCAUCUUUUAUUGAAACCUAGUAGGACUCUGCCAGUUUGGGCAUGCUCCCGUGCUGGCAGCCUAAGCAAUGAAGUGUUUGUCCUUGCCUGACGGCAUUGUUUAUUGAUGUAUUGAUGCAUGCCGGGAGCGUGAAGAUUGCUUGAAAAGGUCGAUACAGCGGUUGAUAGAUUGGACUGAACUAUCUGUCACAGGCCAGGGAUGGUUAAAAUAAAAAAUAAAGAGGAUGGAGCGAAGAAGACAAAUGGAUGCCUUCUGAUGGUGUUCCAGAGAGAAUAAUCACAGAAACGGGAUGAGCUGUCACUCGCGCUCACCGUGGCAACAGGAGGAGCUGUCAAGCUGGUUUUGUUUGUUUCCCAUUAACCAGUCCUGCUUUUAAAAUAAAGGCUUUUCUUUUUCUCCAAUAAGGAAGGGUAAUUUAUGAAGCUCCCAGAGUCCGUGACCUCGUAAUAACACGUUCAGAG